GCCUCUGUAGCCUAUUUGGUAAAGGCAUAACUCUAGUAUGUGUCUCAGCAUAGCUGAGGUUGUGAGUUUGACUCUCACCAGACACA
rnacentral:tRNA from 1 species